rnacentral:tRNA from 1 species
GCCUGGGUGGCUCAGUCGGUUGAGCGUCCGACUUCAGCUCGGGUCACGAUCUCGCGGUCCGUGAGUUCGAGCCCCACGUCGGGCU